UACGUAGGUGGCAAGCGUUGUUCGGAAUUAUUGGGCGUAAAGGGUGCGUAGGCGGCGCGGUAAGUCGGGUGUGAAAUCUCGGGGCUUAACUCCGAAACUGCAUUCGAUACUGCCGUGCUUGAGGACUGGAGAGGAGACUGGAAUUUACGGUGUAGCGGUGAAAUGCGUAGAUAUCGUAAGGAAGACCAGUGGCGAAGGCGGGUCUCUGGACAGUUCCUGACGCUGAGGCACGAAGGUCAGGGGAGCAAACGGG
rnacentral:rRNA from 1 species